rnacentral:piRNA from 1 species
UGGCAUAGCAUGAAGAGAAGAGACCUGGGA